UACGUAGGUGGCAAGCGUUGUCCGGAUUUACUGGGCGUAAAGAGCGCGCAGGCGGUCGUUUAAGUCGAAUGUGAAAGCCCCCGGCUCAACUGGGGAGGGUCAUUCGAUACUGAUCGACUUGAAGGCAGGAGAGGGAAGUGGAAUUCCGGGUGUAGUGGUGAAAUGCGUAGAUAUCCGGAGGAACACCAGUGGCGAAGGCGACUUUCUGGUCUGUAACUGACACUGAGGCGCGAAAGCGUGGGGAGCAAACAGG
rnacentral:rRNA from 1 species